rnacentral:rRNA from 1 species
UACGAAGGGUGCAAGCGUUGUUCGGAAUUAUUGGGCGUAAAGGGUUCGUAGGUGGGAAGAUAAGUCGCGUGUGAAAUCCCUAAGCUUAACUUAGGACGUGCCCGCGAAACUAUUUUUCUUGAGUAUUGGAGAGGGUCGUGGAAUUGCUGGUGUAGGAGUGAAAUCCGUAGAUAUCAGCAGGAAUACCAGAGGCGAAGGCGGCGACCUGGCCAAAUACUGACACUGAGGAACGAAAGCGUGGGGAGCAAACAG